GGUCCGGCUGUUCGCCGGUUAAAAGGGUACGCGAGCUGGGUUCAGAACGUCGUGAGACAGUAGACCUUGAUGGAUUUUCGACGCCAUCAUAAAGAGCUGUCUAUAAAUCUGGUUAAUUGCUGGAACAUCCGAGAAUCGUAUGAUACUAUGGUUUAUAGAGAUCAGAUAAUCUCUAUGAAUACAGGUGACAAUUCACUACGUGCGGACAAUCAGCAGGUAAGCAAGAAGAAUGUUCAUGAUGAUUAUUUUUCAGGUUUUGUUGAUGGGGAAGGGUGUUUUUAUAUUGGAUUUAGUAAGCGAAAAGAUUUGCCGAUGAAGUGGCAAAUACUUACUGAAUUUCAUGUCAGUCAAAAUCCAGGAAGUAAAAAAGUUCUUGAGGCUUUGCAGAAACGAUUGGGAUGUGGAUAUCUCAAGCCGAAUCAUGAAAAAAGUACCUCAGAUAAAACAUGGAUUUUAAUUGUUAAAGAUAGAAAGGAUCUUAUUGCAAAAGUAAUUCCUUUCUUUGAUAUGCAUCCUCUUCAAACAACAAAGCGCAAUGACUACGAAAUAUUUAAAUAUGUAGUUGAAAUGAUUAUUGAAAAACGUCAUCUGACAAAAGAAGGUUUUCGAAAAAUCGUUCGACUUGUCUUUUCGAACAAACGACAGACAAGGAAAUGGUAUUCGAAAGAUAUGCUUCUUUCUUCUUGAAACUUCAGAGACUAUAUGCCAGGUCCCGAUUAAAUCGGGAAAGAUAUAGUCCGAACUGCAUAGCGAUAUGCAGAGCCUAGCAGAAAUGCCUAGACUCCCGAAUAGCGGGAUAACAAAAAUUGUCGGUCUCUAUCCUGUGCAAGCGAUCGAUUCUUGAGGGAAGCUCUCUCUAGUACGAGAGGACCGAGAGGGACAGAUCCCUGGUGUGCCUAUUGUCGGAAAACCGGCAUCGUAGGGUAGCUAGAUCUGGUCGGGAUAAGUGCUGAAAGCAUCUCAAGCACCAAGCCCAUCCCAAGAUGAGGAAUCGUUAUAGAUCCGUUGUAGAUGACAACGUUAAUAGGCGAGGAGUGUACGCACCGCAAGGUGUUUAGCUUACUCGUACUAAUCGAUCAAAG
rnacentral:rRNA from 1 species